rnacentral:tRNA from 1 species
AAUGAGAUGCCUGAUAAAAGGAUUAUUUUGAUAGAAUAAAUUAUGUAAUUAAAUUACUCUCAUUA